ensembl:lncRNA
AUGCACAAGCUAGUAGUCAUCAUGGGAAUAGCAGCUGGAUUAUACCAAGCAAUGCUUAUUGGGUAUCACCUGCUUUUUGUAGUGAUUCCCAAUUUCAUAUAUGUUAUGAUGAAUCUAUAUGGGACAGUGAAAUGGCUGAAGAUGGAAACAGACAAAACUUUAUCAUACAUACCUGUGAUUCUAGUGUUGCUGUACACACUGAAAAAGAUCUAUUGCACUGGGAAAAAAGUUAUGGGCAAGCUAUUUGUGAAGAAAGGCACAGAUAAGGAUGAGAUAGAAUUGAAGUUAACGAUAUUAGCUCUAAAGGAAGGAAUAGCAAACAUGGAAACCAAACUAGAAAAAAUGAAUGGGGAAUUACAAGAAAUGAAAACUAACAGGGGGAAACAACAACAGACACUAGUGAAGGAAAAUAAUAAUGAGGAUCAGGAACAAAGCAGUGGUGGAGAGUCAGUGCUUCCACUACACAAUAUGACUAGUCUUCAAGGGGAUGCAGGGGUUGUAUAUACUAAAAUACACAAGCCGUUUACUACUGCAGAUUUGGAACACCUACGUAAAAGAAUGCCCAAAUUUUUUGAAGAACCUAUGAAAUGCAUCAAGGAGUUCAAACGGGCAAUUAGAUUAUUUGAUCCUUCCUUUGAAGACACGGAGCUUUUAUUAUCUGAACUAUUUUCCAAAAAAGAAAAAGAACAAUUUAUUGAGGAAACAAGACAAAACCCAAAUUUAAUUUCAUGGCCUACGGAUGGACAGAAUUUAGAACUAUCUAAUGUGCAAAACUUACGUUUCCUUGAUCAAGCUAGGCAAGCUUUGUUAGAGGCAAUGAGAAAUUUCGCUAAGAGACCUGACACAUGGGACAGAUUCGAGAAGCUGAAACAAGAGCAUGGGGAACAUCCUUCUAUGUUUUUAGAUAGAGUUGUUGAGAUGGGAGAAAAUAUUUUGGGGUUUACUGAUCUUUCUGAAAAUAAUUUGCAACACAUAAGGAGACAGUUUGUCAAGGGAAGUUGUUUACCAGUGCGAACUUACUUCAGGCUUCACUGCCCAGGGUGGGAGUCUCUUAAUCUAGAAGAUUUAAGGAAAACAGCUACUUAUGUUUUCACUGGAGAAAAAGAACAUAAAAAUGAGGAGGGGGAUGAGCUUGUACAGGAAUUGAGGUCACAGUUAAAAGAGGCCAACAAAAGGCUUAGAGAAAAAGAGAUAGAGGAAGUAAAAAACUUAGCAACAUUACAAUCAUAUAAACCAAGAAGAGAAUAUGUACAAAGACAACAAAGAACUAGUCAGCCUAAAUGUUUCCUCUGUGGGGAGCCUGGUCACUUUGUCAGGGAAUGUAGAUUAAAAGCCCAAAUAGACAACAGGGAAUAUGGUUAUGGGAACAAUAGAAGAAAUUGGAAAGGCAGUAGAAAUGUCAACAACAGCAGACAGGAACAGGGCCAAUGCUGUUCCCAUGUAUGUAGCAACUCUGGAAUCCAAGCCCUAAAUCUUAGUACUAUGCAGAAAUUCAUUCAGGAAGGUGCUAGACCUAAGUAUUCAUCAGUAGCAAUCAUGGGAACAAAACAAAGUCAAUUAUAA